GCCUUCUCAUUGAGCUCCUUUCUGUCGAUGGGUGACAGUUUAGGAUUCGCACGAGAAGAAGAGAGAAUUCACAGAGCUGCGUUGUUGCCUUCUGUCUUCACAGAGGUACAUUCAGCUGUUCUGUGAGACAUUC
ensembl:snoRNA SNORA75 Small nucleolar RNA SNORA75